GGUGGCAAAGCAGCUCUCUGUGGGAGCUCUCCUUAUUAUAGUUCCUCAGUCGAGUUUUGUUUCCCAUCGCCGCCCAACUCUCUCUUGAAUUUUGGACAAGCAGCCUCACUCCUCGAGCUGCAGCUCCAACACGUAAGCAACAGAAGCUUCCGAUGUCACACUGUGAAGCACUCUAAGACUCUGGGGAGCUCCAAGAAUUCCUGUCCAGAAAUCAUGGUCAAGGCCUUGGAUGUGCAGAGCACAAGAGAGAACCUUGGAUGGAGCCUAUGGAGCAUCUCCAAGCAUAAGGCCUGUGCACCUGCAGAGCCUCUCAGAGACAGGCCUCGGGAAGAAUGUUCCAGAAGGUGUCCAUGGACAGCAGCUGGACAGAUACCAGCAGAUGACCAGAGCCAUCAAAACAUGGCCAGUGAAGGCUAAGGACUAUCCCCACAGCCCCCACACCACCACAGGCAGUGGACUCCCUGCCUGCUCUGAGAUUUGAAAGAGCCCGUGAGGUUCCAACAAAGCUCUAAGAGCUUGGUGUGAAAUGCCAAUUUAGACAAAACUCUGGGAUUGCCGGGUGUGGUGAGGUCUGCCUGCCCGCUCAAGGUAAACGCCGAAAGAUCCCACUUUUCGAGAUGAAGUAAAAGUCAGACGACAUUGUAGCACCAGCUACAGACCCUCAGAGCCAGGGUGUCCGCUUCCCAUAAUUUCCUGCUUGCAUUUUAAUGAAUGACAGAGUAGUUAUUUCUGGGGUGCAAAGCCUUCUGGAGUUAUAAUUCCAGACUCCAACUGCAGAAGCUGACUUCAGUUUCCGUGGAAGGAAAAAUAUGCCAACUGUUCCCAACAGAAACCCACAGAGGCGCUGUCAGCGGAAAGUGCCCGGCUGUCUGUG